UCAGCUCCGUAUUUUUUAAAUACUUCGUGUCACGCAGGAAAGCCUGAGUCAUUGUCCAAGGCAUGCUGUUAUCAGCAGAGGUCUGUUGGUAAUGUUUCCCUCCCGGGGCUCAGCAUGUUAGUAGGCUUUAACUGGAAAUCUGCAGCGACAGAAGAGGAUUGCAUCACUCGCCGCGGGCACUGGGAAUCGGGGGGACACGGCCGCACAGCUGCGGACGGUGCCAGGAGAAACCAGGGCUCCCAGCUGAAGCUGCUGUAGCCGGAAUAAAAUCUUUACAGGUCACACUUCUGAUGUACCGGUGGGGCCAACAGCUCGAGUCAGAUGUGGCUGGCAGGUUUGGGAUGCAAGAGGGGAGUCGAAGGAGAUGGAUGAGCCAGCGAGGAGUGGUCUGAGAUAUGGCGAAGCAGAGAGGAGCUGGCAGGAGACACCUGAGCACGGGGACAGAGCAGCACGGGACUGCAGGAGGGGUGCACAGCACCCAGGCUGGAGAAUUUGUACAGAAAGUCCUCGGGCUUUGUCUCCAUACCAGCAGUUCCUCCAACUGGAAGCCUGUUCCUUUGGUUCCCAGACUAAAUAUAAUCAUGACCUGCUUAUCUUUGCUUGAGUUUGGGCCAUGAUUUUGCAAAAAUCUAACACCCAGCCCACAUAUGUACUUGAAAUGCUGUCUCAUAUCAGAUGCUUAGACCAAAUCCCGCAAUUCUUGCACGUAGGAAAAAAACUCCCAGUGACUUUGGUGACCCUAUUACCCAUAUAAUGUUGCAAUAAGGGCUUGGAGGCUUGGCCCACUGCAGACCAGCUCCUUAUUCCAGCAGCUCCUGCCUUCUCAGCCAUGUACCCACAUAGUCCAGCCGUUAGUCCAGCAGCAGCAUGAGGUGAGUUACGUACUGGAGAUUCAAAGCGGUGCUUUCCAUCCCUGCAAUAAUGCUGCUGUAAAUGCAAAACCGCCUGCCUUCACGUUUGUCCUGGGGCUCUGCAGAAGUUAAGAUUCAAGCACGCUCCAGCUGAGAACUUACAAAAUAGCAGCAGGGGGUUUGCAUCACCAGCAAGUUCGGUCACAGCAGAGCUCUGGCUUCCUCCGUCCCCCUGCCGCGGUGCUUCCCUCGCUGCAGGAAGCAGUGCGGGAGGAAAGGCUGCUCUGGGUUGCACCCAGCCCCUGCCCUCGGUGGAAGUGCUGCUGACGUGCCGCCCAUCCGUUUCGGCAGCGGGUUCCUUGAAACAUAGCACCGUGCCCACUACAGUCUCACACCGUGAGCUCAUACGCUUGUCAGAUGGAGAUGAAAGCUCCCCAGCACUAACAGCAGCAACACUCAAACCUCUGAAUUCAGCUUUGAAGAUAGCAGCCCACAAAGCUACGGAGGCUGGCUCCUUUCUGCUUCAUCCUGUGCUGACUCAGUGGGACGAUUUACAUCCUACAGCUGUUUUUACAAGGAAACAAUGAAAAAAACAUCAUUUUUUUUUACUAGAUUCUUGGGUUCUCAAGAACUGUUUGCAGAAAGCCUGGCUAAGUUUCCAUGCCCAUUUAUCCCUUGGCUUAUUUGAUAAGCUUGCCAGCAGGAAAGAUUUUAAUUCCUUUUUAUGCCAAAUUAUUUUUUCACAGCUGUGACAUGAGAUGAUUCCGCCCAAUAAUUUAGGCUCAAAAUUUGACCUAUAUUGAAUGUCGUAAGAUGCUAAGGAUGUUCUUAGGAUUUUAAGGGGAGACUUUGUACUGCACCGUAUUAUUUUAAUAGCUUUUAAUGAAAGCCUACAAGAAAACAGUGUAUGUUUCCAAUCUUAUUACUAUUAGUAUUAAGUACUGUUAAUACUAUAAGACAAACAUUGAUGUCCUACUUGUAACUGUAUGUAACAACAAAAAUAAAAGGAUCUUAUGAAACAGUCAUAUGAAAA